AGGAUGUAGGGAACAGCCAGCAAACUGAUCCCACCACUCCUGUGAGUAAAUAAACAUCUGAAUGAUCAGUGACUCACUGAUGGAUAUACAUACUGUUUCCUCAUAUUCUUCAUUCUUCAUUUAGGUGCAGUGUGAGACUGACCCUACUCCUGUGAAUAGAGUUGUGGUGUAUGGAGAUCUAACUUAUACCACAUCUACUGGGCAGUAUAGAGUACAACCUUCUACCACAUCUUCUGUUCGACCAAUACCACCAGAGGAGUUAUCUCACCUGGUAAGGAAACUUAUUCUCCCCUUUUGGCCCUCAUUCCAUAACAUAUCUGUUGUAGUCACACUGAACUGUUUCUCUCUCUCUCUCUCCUUUUCUCUCUCUCUCUCUCACACACACACACACACACACA